UCCUUAGAUGUCCUGGGCCGCACGCGCGCUACACUGAGUGUCUGAGAUACGAGUCUGCCUGGUCCGGCAAGGUCUAGGUAAUCGCUAAAAGACACAUCAUGCUUGGGAUAGAUUAUUGCAAAUAUUAAUCUUGAACGAGGAAUUCCUAGUAAGCGCAAGUCAACAGCUUGCGUUUAUUACGUCCCUGCCCUUUGUACACACCGCCCGUCGCUACUACUGAUUGGAUGUUUAAGCGAGGUUCUCGAACUGCUAGCGACUUAGCUUCGGUGAGGUCGCAGUGUGGGAAGUGAACCUAGCUUUGGUGUCUAGAGGAAGUAAAAGUCGUAACA
rnacentral:rRNA from 1 species